rnacentral:rRNA from 1 species
AGAUUGAACGCUGGCGGCAUGCCUAACACAUGCAAGUCGAACGGGAGUAGCAAUACUCUAGUGGCGGACGGGUGAGGAAUACGUAGGAAUUUGCCCUUAAGUGGGGGAUAACCCGGGGAAACCCGGAUUAAUACCGCAUGACCUCGAAAGAGCAAAGUGGGGGAUCGCAAGACCUCACGCUUUUGGAGAAGCCUACGUCGGAUUAGCUAGUUGGUGAGGUAAUGGCUCACCAAGGCGACGAUCCGUAACUGGUCUGAGAGGAUGAUCAGUCACACCGGAACUGAGACACGGUCCGGACUCCUACGGGAGGCAGCAGUGGGGAAUAUUGGACAAUGGGCGCAAGCCUGAUCCAGCAAUGCCGCGUGUGUGAAGAAGGCCUUCGGUUGUAAGAGACUUAAGUUA